rnacentral:other from 1 species
CUCCUGCGGUGUUCGAAGACGGCUUGGAACCCCUUGAGCCUAUAUCUCGACCCCGGGUCUAUGAUGCUUCCCUGGUGUGCAUGUCCGCCUCGCAGCGGAAAGCCUGAUUGGGUUGCUGAUGGUCCCACCUGACUUUUUGUCUCAGGGUCGACAGCCGGCUACGGCACAUGCGGGAG